ensembl:snRNA U6 U6 spliceosomal RNA
GUGGUCGGUUUGGCAGCACAUAUACUAAAACAUUGGAAUGAUACAGAGAAGAUUAGCAUGGUGCCUGUGCAAGGAUGGCAUGCAAAUUUUUGAAGCUUUCCAUAUAUAU